rnacentral:rRNA from 1 species
UACGGAAGGCGCAGUGGGGAAUAUUGCACAAUGGGCGCAAGCCUGAUGCAGCCAUGCCGCGUGUAUGAAGAAGGCCUUCGGGUUGUAAAGUACUUUCAGUCGUGAGGAAGGUGUUAAGGUUAAUAACCUUAGCAAUUGACGUUAGCGACAGAAGAAGCACCGGCUAACUCCGUGCCAGCAGCCGCGGUAAUACGGAGGGUGCGAGCGUUAAUCGGAAUUACUGGGCGUAAAGGGCACGCAGGCGGUUAAUUAAGUUGGAUGUGAAAUCCCCGGGCUUAACCUGGGAAUGGCAUUCAAGACUGGUUAGCUAGAGUCUUGUAGAGGGGGUAGAAUUCCAUGUGUAGCGGUGAAAUGCGUAGAGAUGUGGAGGAAUACCGGUGGCGAAGGCGGCCCCUGGACAAAGACUGACGCUCAUGUGCGAAAGCGUGGGGAGCAAACAGGGAUUAGAUACC